rnacentral:rRNA from 1 species
GACGAACGCUGGCGGCGUGCUUAACACAUGCAAGUCGAACGGAAAGGCCCUGCUUGCAGGGUGCUCGAGUGGCGAACGGGUGAGUAACACGUGGGUGAUCUGCCCCUUAUUUUGGGAUAAGCCUGGGAAACUGGGUCUAAUACUGGAUAGGACCAUGCUGUAGGUGGUGUGGUGGAAAGAUUAGUUUCGGUAAGGGAUGAGCUCGCGGCCUAUCAGCUUGUUGGUGGGGUAAUGGCCUACCAAGGCGUCGACGGGUAGCCGGCCUGAGAGGGUGGACGGCCAGAUUGGGACUGAGAUACGGGCCAGACUCCUACGGGAGGCAGCAGUGGGGAAUAUUGCACAAUGGGCGCAAGCCUGAUGCAGCGACGCCGCGUGGGGGAUGACGGCCUUCGGUUUGUAAACUCCUUUCAGCCAUGACGAAGCCCUUGUGGUGACGGUAGUGGUAGAAGAAGCACCGGCUAACUACGUG